GUUUUACACUUGAUCUCUGAACUUCAGGUAAGUUCAUAUGUUGACAAGUUCAUUCCCUUGAUCUGUGAACAAUUUUGAUGAU